rnacentral:rRNA from 1 species
GCGGGUAAAUCGCUGUCGGGAUUAUUGGGCGUAAGGGCUCGCAGGCGGUUUCUUAAGUCUGAUGUGAAAGCCCCCGGCUCAACCGGGGAGGGUCAUUGGAAACUGGGAAACUUGAGUGCAGAAGAGGAGAGUGGAAUUCCACGUGUAGCGGUGAAAUGCGUAGAGAUGUGGAGGAACACCAGUGGCGAAGGCGACUCUCUGGUCUGUAACUGACGCUGAGGAGCGAAAGCGUGGGGAGCGAACAGGAUUAGAUACCCUGGUAGUCCACGCCGUAAACGAUGAGUGCUAAGUGUUAGGGGGUUUCCGCCCCUUAGUGCUGCAGCUAACGCAUUAAGCACUCCGCCUGGGGAGUACGGUCGCAAGACUGAAACUCAAAGGAAUUGACGGGGGCCCGCACAAGCGGUGGAGCAUGUGGUUUAAUUCGAAGCAACGCGAAAAACCUUACCAGGUCUUGACAUCCUCUGACAACCCUAAAGAUAGGGCUUUCCCUUCGGGGACAGAGUGACAGGUGGUGCAUGGUUGUCGUCAGCUCGUGUCGUGAGAUGUUGGGUUAAGUCCCGCAACGAGCGCAACCCUUGAUCUUAGUUGCCAGCAUUCAGUUGGGCACUCUAAGGUGACUGCCGGUGACAAACCGGAGGAAGGUGGGGAUGACGUCAAAUCAUCAUGCCCCUUAUGACCUGGGCUACACACGUGCUACAAUGGACAGAACAAAGGGCUGCAAGACCGCAAGGUUUAGCCAAUCCCAUAAAUCUGUUCUCAGUUCGGAUCGCAGUCUGCAACUCGACUGCGUGAAGCUGGAAUCGCUAGUAAUCGCGGAUCACCAUGGCGCGGUGAAUACGUUUCCCGGGCCCUGUGACACACCGCCCCGUCACACCACGAGAGUUUGCAUCACCCCGAAGUCUGUGAGGUCACCCUUAUGGAGCCAGCCGCCGACGUUGGGGCAGAUGAUUGGGGUGAUCAUAUGGUGGGGGAGGAGGGGGGGGAUUUUUUUGGGGAGAAAUGGACCCCCCCCUUUUUGUGUGGGGGGGCACAACACCUUGUGGGCGGCGGAGGGGGGGGGGUGUUUCACACGCGCCGCGGAGUAUAUCCCCCUCUUAUAUUUUGUAUUUUGCCGCCGAUAACACAAUUGCGCCGGCGGGGGAGUGGGACACAGCGAGGAAGAGACUCCAUACUGGGUU